CCCAGGCGGCGGCCAUUUUGGCGCGCCAGUACUGUCGGUAGGCGAAGCCAGUCCUCGGACGAAAGACUUUGUCCACGGUUAACAGAGCGUGCGGGGGCGUCUUUUGGAAAAUAUUAAGCGCGGAGCGCCAGCACUUCCAAGGGCAGUGACCGAGGGUAGGAGAGAGUCGAACCUUGAAAUUGGAGUCGACACGCGUGGACGUACCGGAAGCUGGAGACGGGGAAGGCAGGGCAGGAAGUCCUGGUGUCAGGGCAGGUGACACCGUUUGGGUUCGGAGACAUCAGACCCGGAACUUAGAGCCCCGCUGAAAAGGACCCUACACCGUCCUCCUCACCACUCCUACAGCCCUCAAAGUUGACGGGAUCGCAGCCUGGAUCCACGCUUCGCACGCUAAAGCGGCUGAACCUGCACACCAAGAAUCCUUGCUGAAGGACCCAGCAGAGAAAUGGCGGCUGACCCGGACCUCAGACCCUCUAAAGAUAAGACUGGUCAAGGACAAUCAUUAAGCAUAACAGCCUGGGCUUGUAUCUUUAUGCAUUUAGUUAAGAACAUAGAUGGUGGCUUUCAGCCACUUAAUGCUACCAGGUUUAUGCUAACUCGGUACGGCCCCCCUUGUGAAUGUAGAGGUGGCAAUGAGGGUACCAUGCCACCGAAACUUUUCACUCUAACAUUUGAUUGUGGAGGCAAGACUGCAUAUCUUGCUAUUCAUGGUACACAUACCCAGCAACACGAACAGAGCUGGACGUGUGUAUCGAAACCCAAGCCUAUCGUGCCACCAGCUGAUGGUAAGUGCCCCAAUGAUUGUAUUUUCACUCAAGCUAUGCACUCAUCCUGUUAUACCUCCUUUACUGAAUGUAAAAAAAAUAACAUCCUGUAUUUUUACUCCACGGCCAUUUCUUAUAAAAAAGCCUCUGGGGGCUCGGAUUGGGCCCUUAAUACUCAGGUAAUAGGAUCAGAAAAAUAUAAUUCUAAAACCCUUAGUGCAGGCUGUUAUGUAGAACCUGG